UAGUCCACGCCGUAAACGAUGAUUACUCGCUGUAGGCGAUACACAGUCUGUGGCUAAGCGAAAGUUUUAAGUAAUCCACCUGGGGAGUACGAUCGCAAGAUUGAAACUCAAAGGAAUUGACGGGGGCCCGCACAAGCGGAGGAACAUGUGGUUUAAUUCGAUGAUACGCGAGGAACCUUACCUGGACUUAAAUGUAGAUUGCAUAGCUUAGAGAUAGGUUUUUCUUCGGACUAUUUACAAGGUGCUGCAUGGUUGUCGUCAGCUCGUGUCGUGAGAUGUUGGGUUAAGUCCCGCAACGAGCGCAACCCUUGUCUUUAGUUGCCAUCAUUUAGUUGGGCACUCUAGAGAAACUGCCGGUGACAAACCGGAGGAAGGUAAGGAUGACGUCAAGUCAGCAUGCCCCUUACGCUCUGGGCUACACACGUGCUACAAUGGUCGUGACAAAGGGCAGCUACCUGGCGACAGGAUGCUAAUCUCUAAAGCCGUUCUCAGUUCGGAUCGAAGU
rnacentral:rRNA from 1 species